rnacentral:rRNA from 1 species
UACGUAGGGUGCAAGCGUUGUCCGGAAUUAUUGGGCGUAAAGAGCUCGUAGGCGGCCGGGUAAGUCUGAUGUGAAAUCCCGCAGCUCAACUGCGGAACUGCAUCGGAUACUCUCCGGCUAGAGGAAUGGAGGGGAGACUGGAAUUCUCGGUGUAGCAGUGAAAUGCGUAGAUAUCGAGAGGAACACCAGUGGCGAAGGCGAGUCUCUGGACAUUUCCUAACGCUGAGGCACGAAAGCCAGGGGAGCAAACGGG